ensembl:snoRNA small nucleolar RNA SNORA2/SNORA34 family
UAGCCUGAAUCAAGGCCUGCAACUUCCCGAUGCUGUUGGUUUCUAGCAGGAGCCUAAAGAGAUGUCUUUCAAUACUCUGUUGGCUAUUUUAGAUCUUGGGCAGGGAAAUGGUUAAUUCAUUAGAAAGAAACAACU